rnacentral:rRNA from 1 species
CCUACGGGAGACAGCAGUGGGGAAUGUUGCGCAAUGCUCGUAAGAGUGACGCAGCGACGCCGCGUGAAUGACGAAGGCCUUCGGGUCGUAAAGUUCUUUCGACAGGGAAGAAAAUGCCUAUAAGUAACUGUGUAUGUAUUGACGGUACCUGUAUAAGCAGCCCCGGCUAACUCCGUGCCAGCAGCCGCGGUAAUACGGAGGGGGCGAGCGUUGUUCGGAGUGACUGGGCGUAAAGAGCACGUAGGCGGUGUUGUAAGUCAUUAGUCAAAGACUAGAGCUCAACUUUAGUAAGGCUAGUGAUACUAUAAUACUAGAGUAUCAGAGAGGAUUGCAGAAUUCCUGGUGUAGCGGUGAAAUGCGUAGAUAUUAGGAGGAACACCAGUGGCGAAGGCGACUUUCUGGACUGUACCUGACGCUGAGGCGCGAAAGCGUGGGUAGCGAACGGGAUUAGAUACCCGAGUAGUC